UGCGUCCCAUUAGCUUGUUGGUGAGGUAACGGCUCACCAAGGCGACGAUGGGUAGGGGGCCUGAGAGGGUGGUCCCCCACACUGGUACUGAGACACGGACCAGACUCCUACGGGAGGCAGCAGUGAGGAAUAUUGGUCAAUGGAGGCAACUCUGAACCAGCCAUGCCGCGUGAAGGAUGACGGCCCUAUGGGUUGUAAACUUCUUUUAUAUGGGAAGAAACUUGUCUACGUGUAGACAACUGACGGUACCAUACGAAUAAGGAUCGGCUAACUCCGUGCCAGCAGCCGCGGUAAUACGGAGGAUCCAAGCGUUAUCCGGAAUUAUUGGGCGUAAAGCGUCCGCAGGCGGCCCUUCAAGUCUGCUGUUAAAAAGUGGAGCUUAACUCCAUCAUGGCAGUGGGAACUGUUGGGCUUGAGUGUGGUAGGGGCAGAGGGAAUUCCCGGUGUAGCGGUGAAAUGCGUAGAUAUCGGGAAGAACACCAGUGGCGAAGGCGCUCUGCUGGGCCAUCACUGACGCUCAUGGACGAAAGCCAGGGGAGCGAAAGGGAUUAGAUACCCCUGUAGUCCUGGCCGUAAACGAUGAACACUAGGUGUCGGGGGAAUCGACCCCCUCGGUGUCGUAGCCAACGCGUUAAGUGUUCCGCCUGGGGAGUACGCACGCAAGUGUGAAACUCAAAGGAAUUGACGGGGGCCCGCACAAGCGGUGGAGUAUGUGGUUUAAUUCGAUGCAACGCGAAGACCUUACCAGGGUUUGACAUCCUGCGAAUCUCUUGAAACAG
rnacentral:rRNA from 1 species